rnacentral:rRNA from 1 species
AGAUCCCUCAAAGAUGAUGAGGUGGAUAGGUCUGGGGUGGAAGCGUGGCGACACGUGGAGCUGACAGAUACUAAUCGAUCGAGGACUUAACCUU